AUGAGACCCGAGAGCCGCAGCGCGGAGGUUUUUGCCGAGCCGCUCUACGGCUUUCAGUCACUGUGGAUCACUUUCGGCGGCGGAACGAAACUCUCCGUUGGAAAGGACACUGCCCCCACCCUCAGCGUCCUGCCUCCCUCCAGCGAGCAGCUGAAACAGGGUAAGGCCACGCUGCUGUGUCUCGCCAACAAGGGCUUCCCGUCAGACUGGACGCUGCGCUGGAAACUGGACGGUAACAGCAAGAACCCCGAUGACAGCAGGAACCAGGGGCUCCCGGGUAAAGAUGGUCUGUACAGCUGGAGCAGUAGCCUGACUCUGUCUGCCGACGAGUGGACCAGAGUCGGGGUGGUCACCUGCGAGGCCACCAAGGGCUCCCUGUCUCCGGUCAUGUACAAUCUGAAGAGAGCAGACUGCUCUAACUAACCCUCAGCCCCCAUACACACCAGCGUUGCGCUGUGUUACGCUUUCCGUAAACUCUUCUGUCUUAGUUCGUUCCAUUCUGUCCUUCCCCCGCUGCUGAUUCCCUAGUGUGAAAAUUGAUUCGCAACCUGUGAGAAAACUUCCUAAAGCUACUGUUUGUAUUUGUUACCCUGUGCACUCGAUCGGCUUAUUUCCAACAGAAAAUUUUGAGUUUCCUGUGUUUUGAUUGUAUUACUCAGUGCUUUCCAAGUGCUCUUUGUACAAUUUCUUUUGAACAAUAAAGAUUUCUGUCAGUCAUUAUUAUUGCAUGUAUGGUUUUUGUUGCACAAAACAGAAAACUUUGUUUUAUGGUGGCGGUCUGAAUUGUGCCAUAUUCCUCCAUUGUCUGUGCAAGAUAGAUUUGGAAAUGAAAUUUAUAAUUUAAUUAAAGAAAAAGGUUUUUGUGUGAAGAUGUACUUCUGCGG